GGCAAAUCGCCAGGCGCCAUUUUGCAAAGCUCUGCGGUUGACGGAUCUCCGGGCCCCUGGAGCACCCGCCCUCGACACCAGUGAGUAAGAAGCUAAGAUAAAGGGAAAUAAGGAAAACAUCCAUUUUGCCAGAAAUAGGAAAUUUAAAGCCAAAAAGUCCAUCAGUUUUACCUGAAGCUUCAGAAGAUCCCGUGAAGAAUGUACAAUAAUCAGCAGUUUGCUUACUUCCACACCAACAGAAGGAAAUUUACACUUAUAUGCCCUGAAGAAUUGACUCGUUUCUGUAAAUGACAUAUGGUGGAGGAUCCUUUUUGAAAAUAAAUACUCCUGUUUUCAUGCUGAA